GAUCAUGGCUCAGGAUGAACGCUAGCUACAGGCUUAACACAUGCAAGUCGAGGGGAAACGACAUCGAAAGCUUGCUUUUGAUGGGCGUCGACCGGCGCACGGGUGAGUAACGCGUAUCCAACCUGCCCACCACUUGGGGAUAACCUUGCGAAAGUAAGACUAAUACCCAAUGAUAUCUCUAGAAGACACUGAAGAAGAGUAA
rnacentral:rRNA from 1 species